rnacentral:misc_RNA from 1 species
GUGGGAUUCCCAGGAUUUAUUACCACCAGUGCCCUAACAUUUAUACCCUUGGACUUGGCAGCCUCCAGUUGCUUCUUAAGCUCGGAAGUUUCCAGUCCCCACCCUGCUGCUUCAUCAAGAUAGUAUGGGACCAGAGUGCCACCAUGGAGAGCUAUUGAAGCAGAGUACAAAGGAUAUUGAGGGAUUGGACAAAGAAUUCCAUCCCCUUCCGAUCUUAUAAGCAAUUGCAUCAUCAUAUGGACCGCAGGGCUUGCACCAUCUGUUAAGAAAAUAUCAUUUGGAUCAGCAGGAUAUCCAUCACGAGCUUCAAUUCCAGCA